GAAACUGGGUCUAAUACCGGAUAUGCACCGUGGACCGCAUGGUUCUUGGUGGAAAGAAUUUUGGUCAGGGAUGGACUCGCGGCCUAUCAGCUUGUUGGUGAGGUAAUGGCUCACCAAGGCGACGACGGGUAGCCGGCCUGAGAGGGUGACCGGCCACACUGGGACUGAGACACGGCCCAGACUCCUACGGGAGGCAGCAGUGGGGAAUAUUGCACAAUGGGCGAAAGCCUGAUGCAGCGACGCCGCGUGAGGGAUGACGGCCUUCGGGUUGUAAACCUCUUUCAGUAGGGAAGAAGCGAAAGUGACGGUACCUGCAGAAGAAGCGCCGGCUAACUACGUGCCAGCAGCCGCGGUAAUACGUAGGGCGCAAGCGUUAUCCGGAAUUAUUGGGCGUAAAGAGCUCGUAGGCGGUUUGUCGCGUCUAUCGUGAAAGUCCGAGGCUCAACCUCGGAUCUGCGGUGGGUACGGGCAGACUAGAGUGAUGUAGGGGAGACUGGAAUUCCUGGUGUAGCGGUGAAAUGCGCAGAUAUCAGGAGGAACACCGAUGGCGAAGGCAGGUCUCUGGGCAUUAACUGACGCUGAGGAGCGAAAGCAUGGGGAGCGAACAGGAUUAGAUACCCUGGUAGUCCAUGCCGUAAACGUUGGGCACUAGGUGUGGGGGACAUUCCACGUUUUCCGCGCCGUAG
rnacentral:rRNA from 1 species